rnacentral:rRNA from 1 species
AAUUGAUCUGGUCAGGAUGAACGCUAGCGACAGGCUUAACACAUGCAAGUCGAGGGGCAGCACGGGAGUAGCAAUACAACUGGUGGCGACCGGCGCACGGGUGAGUAACGCGUAUGCAACCUACCUAGUCAGAGGGGAAUAACCCGGCGAAAGUCGGACUAAUACCGCAUAAAACAGGGGCACCGCAUGGUGAUAUUUGUUAAAGAGAUUCGCUGAUAGAUGGGCAUGCGUUCCAUUAGGUAGUUGGUGAGGUAACGGCUCACCAAGCCGACGAUGGAUAGGGGAACUGAGAGGUUGGUCCCCCACACUGGUACUGAGACACGGACCAGACUCCUACGGGAGGCAGCAGUGAGGAAUAUUGGUCAAUGGGCGGGAGCCUGAACCAGCCAAGUCGCGUGAAAGGAAGAAGGAUCUAUGGUUCGUAAACUUCUUUUGCAGGGGAAUAAAGUGCAGGACGUGUCCUGUUUUGUAUGUACCCUGAGAAUAAGGAUCGGCUAACUCCGUGCCAGCCGCUGC